GGGUUCCUGUGGCCCUCUGGCACGAGAACAGAUCCAUCAGAGAACGUCUGGUAGAGAUUACACACCGUUUCUGGGUUCUACAAGUGUGCUGCAGGGAUGAUGCGCUUUUGUAGGCCAACUCGGAAGGUCACAUCACCCUGAUUCCCUUGACAAAAAGCCAAUUUGAUUUUUCCAUAAGCUCUGUGAGCAACAAAAGAGAUCUGGGGGCUCGUCCGGGAUAUUCCCUAGAAACAGCCGCCAUCACAGGUCACGGUGACUGAUGAAUUACCUUGCACGCCAAUGAGAGAACAUCAGAAACCAGAGAGUCCCGUUUGACCGGCACAUU